UGGGGAAUAUUGCGCAAUGGGCGAAAGCCUGACGCAGCGACGCCGCGUGAGGGAUGAAGGCCUUCGGGUUGUAAACCUCUUUCAGCAGGGACGAAGCGAAAGUGACGGUACCUGCAGAAGAAGCACCGGCUAACUACGUGCCAGCAGCCGCGGUAAUACGUAGGGUGCAAGCGUUGUCCGGAUUUAUUGGGCGUAAAGAGCUCGUAGGCGGUCUGUCGCGUCGGAUGUGAAAACUUGGGGCUCAACCCUGAGCUUGCAUUCGAUACGGGCAGACUAGAGGAUGGCAGGGGAGACUGGAACUCCUGGUGUAGCGGUGGAAUGCGCAGAUAUCAGGAAGAACACCGGUGGCGAAGGCGGGUCUCUGGGCCAUUACUGACGCUGAGGAGCGAAAGCGUGGGGAGCAAACAGG
rnacentral:rRNA from 1 species